rnacentral:rRNA from 1 species
CCCAGACUCCUACGGGAGGCAGCAGUGGGGAAUAUUGCACAAUGGGGGAAACCCUGAUGCAGCAACGCCGCGUGAGUGAAGAAGUAUUUCGAUAUGUAAAGCUCUAUCAGCAGGGAAGAAGAUGACGGUACCUGAUUAAGAAGCCCCGGCUAACUACGUGCCAGCAGCCGCGGUAAUACGUAGGGGGCAAGCGUUAUCCGGAUUUACUGGGUGUAAAGGGAGCGUAGACGGCAUAGCAAGUCUGAAGUGAAAGCCCAAGGCUCAACCAUGGGACUGCUCUGGAAACUGUGCAGCUAGAGUGCAGGAGAGGCAGGCGGAAUUCCUAGUGCAGCGGUGAAAUGCGUAGAUAUUAGGAGGAACACCGGUGGCGAAGGCGGCCUGCUGGACUGUAACUGACGUUGAGGCUCGAAAGCGUGGGGAGCAAACAGGAUUAGAUACCCGCGUA